rnacentral:misc_RNA from 1 species
AAGUUUCAUUGUCUUUGUCAAGUUGCAGGUUUGAAGAGGUGCAAAUCAAGGUACCAAAAGUGUUUGACACUUUUGUUCCUCCACCCCAAAGAGAUCAUGUUGUAUCCAAACAAAUAAGAAGAGUGGACCUUUCAAAUCUUGUUUUUAAUGUCCUUGGCAAGGAUUUGAGGACAAAUCCUUUUCAAGAAGGGGGGUAUGAUAUGCCUAUAAGGGGUCAAGAAUUUCCAUCAAUUUAAGAACUUUGAAGCACGUUCAUCACAAGCAUGUAGGAUGGAAAGCACAUGGGAAACUAAUUCAUUAUGAUUGCAUGAGCUUAGUGAAAGCAAAAAA